rnacentral:rRNA from 1 species
UACGGAGGGUGCAAGCGUUAUCCGGAUUCAUUGGGUUUAAAGGGAGCGUAGGUGGCCUUAUAAGUCAGUGGUGAAAUCUCUCAGCUUAACUGAGAAAUUGCCAUUGAUACUGUAGGGCUUGAGUACAGAUGCCGUUGGCGGAAUAUGACAUGUAGUGGUGAAAUACAUAGAGAUGUCAUAGAACACCGAUUGCGAAGGCAGCUGACGAAACUGUAACUGACACUGAGGCUCGAAAGUGCGGGGAUCAAACAGG